CGAGCGGACAGAAGGGAGCUUGCUCCCGGAUGUUAGCGGCGGACGGGUGAGUAACACGUGGGUAACCUGCCUGUAAGACUGGGAUAACUCCGGGAAACCGGAGCUAAUACCGGAUAGUUCCUUGAACCGCAUGGUUCAAGGAUGAAAGACGGUUUCGGCUGUCACUUACAGAUGGACCCGCGGCGCAUUAGCUAGUUGGUGAGGUAACGGCUCACCAAGGCGACGAUGCGUAGCCGACCUGAGAGGGUGAUCGGCCACACUGGGACUGAGACACGGCCCAGACUCCUACGGGAGGCAGCAGUAGGGAAUCUUCCGCAAUGGACGAAAGUCUGACGGAGCAACGCCGCGUGAGUGAUGAAGGUUUUCGGAUCGUAAAGCUCUGUUGUUAGGGAAGAACAAGUGCAAGAGUAACUGCUUGCACCUUGACGGUACCUAACCAGAAAGCCACGGCUAACUACGUGCCAGCAGCCGCGGUAAUACGUAGGUGGCAAGCGUUGUCCGGAAUUAUUGGGCGUAAAGGGCUCGCAGGCGGUUUCUUAAGUCUGAUGUGAAAGCCCCCGGCUCAACCGGGGAGGGUCAUUGGAAACUGGGAAACUUGAGUGCAGAAGAGGAGAGUGGAAUUCCACGUGUAGCGGUGAAAUGCGUAGAGAUGUGGAGGAACACCAGUGGCGAAGGCGACUCUCUGGUCUGUAACUGACGCUGAGGAGCGAAAGCGUGGGGAGCGAACAGGAUUAGAUACCCUGGUAGUCCACGCCGUAAACGAUGAGUGCUAAGUGUUAGGGGGUUUCCGCCCCUUAGUGCUGCAGCUAACGCAUUAAGCACUCCGCCUG
rnacentral:rRNA from 1 species